rnacentral:rRNA from 1 species
GACUCUCGGCAAUGGAUAUCUCGGCUCUCGCAUCGAUGAAGAACGUAGCAAAAUGCGAUACUUAGUGUGAAUCGCAGAAUCCCAUGAACCAUCGAGUCUUUGAACGCAAGUUGCGCCCCAAGCCUUCUGGCCGAGGGCACGUCUGCCGGGAUGUCA